rnacentral:tRNA from 1 species
AUCUUUUUAGUAUAACAAUAUAUUUGACUUCCAAUCAAAAGAUCUCCAUUACAGAGAAAAGAUA